UUUGGUUAAGUUAGAAAGGGCGCACGGUGGAUGCCUUGACACUAGGAGUCGAUGAAGGACGGGACUAACGCCGAUAUGCUUCGGGGAGCUGUAAGUAAGCUUUGAUCCGAAGAUUUCCGAAUGGGGAAACCCACCAUACGUAAUGGUAUGGUAUCCUUAUCUGAAUACAUAGGGUAAGGAAGACAGACCCAGGGAACUGAAACAUCUAAGUACCUGGAGGAAGAGAAAGCAAAUGCGAUUUCCUGAGUAGCGGCGAGCGAAACGGAACAUAGCCCAAACCAAGAGGCUUGCCUCUUGGGGUUGUAGGACAUUCUAUACGGAGUUACAAAGGAACGAGGUAGACGAAGCGACCUGGAAAGGUCCGUCGUAGAGGGUAACAACCCCGUAGUCGAAACUUCGUUCUCUCUUGAAUGUAUCCUGAGUACGGCGGAACACGUGAAAUUCCGUCGGAAUCUGGGAGGACCAUCUCCCAAGGCUAAAUACUCCCUAGUGAUCGAUAGUGAACCAGUACCGUGAGGGAAAGGUGAAAAGCACCCCGGAAGGGGAGUGAAAGAGAUCCUGAAACCGUGUGCCUACAAAUAGUCAGAGCCCGUUAACGGGUGAUGGCGUGCCUUUUGUAGAAUGAACCGGCGAGUUACGAUCCCGUGCGAGGUUAAGCUGAAGAGGCGGAGCCGCAGCGAAAGCGAGUCUGAAUAGGGCGUUUAGUACGUGGUCGUAGACCCGAAACCAGGUGAUCUACCCAUGUCCAGGGUGAAGUUCAGGUAACACUGAAUGGAGGCCCGAACCCACGCACGUUGAAAAGUGCGGGGAUGAGGUGUGGGUAGCGGAGAAAUUCCAAUCGAACCUGGAGAUAGCUGGUUCUCCCCGAAAUAGCUUUAGGGCUAGCCUUAAGUGUAAGAGUCUUGGAGGUAGAGCACUGAUUGGACUAGGGGUCCUCAUCGGAUUACCGAAUUCAGUCAAACUCCGAAUGCCAAUGACUUAUCCUUAGGAGUCAGACUGCGAGUGAUAAGAUCCGUAGUCAAAAGGGAAACAGCCCAGACCGCCAGCUAAGGUCCCAAAGUGUGUAUUAAGUGGAAAAGGAUGUGGAGUUGCUUAGACAACUAGGAUGUUGGCUUAGAAGCAGCCACCAUUUAAAGAGUGCGUAAUAGCUCACUAGUCGAGUGACUCUGCGCCGAAAAUGUACCGGGGCUAAAUACACCACCGAAGCUGCGGAUUGAUACCAAUGGUAUCAGUGGUAGGGGAGCGUUCUAAGGACAGUGAAGUCAGACCGUAAGGACUGGUGGAGUGCUUAGAAGUGAGAAUGCCGGUAUGAGUAGCGAAAGACGGGUGAGAAUCCCGUCCACCGAAUGCCUAAGGUUUCCUGAGGAAGGCUCGUCCGCUCAGGGUUAGUCAGGACCUAAGCCGAGGCCGACAGGCGUAGGCGAUGGACAACAGGUUGAUAUUCCUGUACCACCUCUUUAUCGUUUGAGCAAUGGAGGGACGCAGAAGGAUAGAAGAAGCGUGCGAUUGGUUGUGCACGUCCAAGCAGUUAGGCUGAUAAGUAGGCAAAUCCGCUUAUCNNNNAGGCUGAGCUGUGAUGGGGAAGCUCCUUAUGGAGCGAAGUCUUUGAUUCCCCGCUGCCAAGAAAAGCUUCUAGCGAGAUAAAAGGUGCCUGUACCGCAAACCGACACAGGUAGGCGAGGAGAGAAUCCUAAGGUGUGCGAGAGAACUCUGGUUAAGGAACUCGGCAAAAUGACCCCGUAACUUCGGGAGAAGGGGUGCUUUCUUAACGGAAAGCCGCAGUGAAUAGGCCCAAGCGACUGUUUAGCAAAAACACAGCUCUCUGCGAAGCCGUAAGGCGAAGUAUAGGGGGUGACACCUGCCCGGUGCUGGAAGGUUAAGGAGAGGGGUUAGCGUAAGCGAAGCUCUGAACUGAAGCCCCAGUAAACGGCGGCCGUAACUAUAACGGUCCUAAGGUAGCGAAAUUCCUUGUCGGGUAAGUUCCGACCCGCACGAAAGGUGUAACGAUUUGGGCACUGUCUCAACCAGAGACUCGGUGAAAUUAUAGUACCUGUGAAGAUGCAGGUUACCCGCGACAGGACGGAAAGACCCCGUGGAGCUUUACUGUAGCCUGAUAUUGAAUUUUGGUACAGUUUGUACAGGAUAGGCGGGAGCCAUUGAAACCGGAGCGCUAGCUUCGGUGGAGGCGCUGGUGGGAUACCGCCCUGACUGUAUUGAAAUUCUAACCUACGGGUCUUAUCGACCCGGGAGACAGUGUCAGGUGGGCAGUUUGACUGGGGCGGUCGCCUCCUAAAGUGUAACGGAGGCGCCCAAAGGUUCCCUCAGAAUGGUUGGAAAUCAUUCGUAGAGUGCAAAGGCAUAAGGGAGCUUGACUGCGAGACCUACAAGUCGAGCAGGGACGAAAGUCGGGCUUAGUGAUCCGGUGGUUCCGCAUGGAAGGGCCAUCGCUCAACGGAUAAAAGCUACCCCGGGGAUAACAGGCUUAUCUCCCCCAAGAGUCCACAUCGACGGGGAGGUUUGGCACCUCGAUGUCGGCUCAUCGCAUCCUGGGGCUGUAGUCGGUCCCAAGGGUUGGGCUGUUCGCCCAUUAAAGCGGUACGCGAGCUGGGUUCAGAACGUCGUGAGACAGUUCGGUCCCUAUCCGUCGUGGGCGUAGGAAAUUUGAGAGGAGCUGUCCUUAGUACGAGAGGACCGGGAUGGACGCACCGCUGGUGUACCAGUUGUUCUGCCAAGGGCAUAGCUGGGUAGCUAUGUGCGGAAGGGAUAAGUGCUGAAAGCAUCUAAGCAUGAAGCCCCCCUCAAGAUGAGAUUUCCCAUAGCGUAAGCUAGUAAGAUCCCUGAAAGAUGAUCAGGUUGAUAGGUUCGAGGUGGAAGCAUGGUGACAUGUGGAGCUGACGAAUACUAAUAGAUCGAGGACUUAACCAUAUAA
rnacentral:rRNA from 1 species